UCCUCGUUAGUAUAGUGGUGAGUAUCCCGCCUGUCCUUGAGGGGAGAGGGGGUUCGAUUCCCGGCCACGGGGAG
rnacentral:tRNA from 1 species